rnacentral:rRNA from 1 species
GACGAGCCACACAAACGUUAUUCGGAAUUACUGGGCUUAAAGGGUGCGUAGGCGGUGCGGAAAGUUGGGUGUGAAAUACCUCGGCUCAACCGAGGAACUGCGCCCAAAACUACCGCACUCGAGGAAGAUAGAGGUGAGCGGAACUUACGGUGGAGCGGUGAAAUGCGUUGAUAUCGUAAGGAACACCCGUGGCGAAAGCGGCUCACUGGGUCUUCUCUGACGCUGAUGCACGAAAGCUAGGGGAGCAAACGGG